ACAUGCAGUCGAGCGAACAGAUGAAGUGCUUGCACUUCUGACGUUAGCGGCGAACGGGUGAGUAACACGUAAGGAAUCUACCUAUAAGCGGGGGAUAACAUUCGGAAACGGGUGCUAAUACCGCAUAAUAUCUUCUUCCGCAUGGAAGAAGAUUGAAAGACGGCUCUGCUGUCACUUAUAGAUGACCUUGCGGUGCAUUAGUUAGUUGGUGGGGUAACGGCCUACCAAGACGAUGAUGCAUAGCCGACCUGAGAGGGUGAUCGGCCACAUUGGGACUGAGACACGGCCCAAACUCCUACGGGAGGCAGCAGUAGGGAAUCUUCCGCAAUGGGCGAAAGCCUGACGGAGCAAUGCCGCGUGAGUGAAGAAGGCCUUCGGGUCGUAAAACUCUGUUAUAAGAGAAGAACAAAUUGUAGAGUAACUGCUACAGUCUUGACGGUAUCUUAUCAGAAAGCCACGGCUAACUACGUGCCAGCAGCCGCGGUAAUACGUAGGUGGCAAGCGUUGUCCGGAUUUAUUGGGCGUAAAGGGAGCGCAGGUGGUUUCUUAAGUCUGAUGUGAAAGCCCACGGCUUAACCGUGGAGGGUCAUUGGAAACUGGGAAACUUGAGUACAG
rnacentral:rRNA from 1 species